AGCGAAUACAGAUGAAAGUCCUCUGUGUGCUUAGCAGUACUAAGUCAAUGUUUGACUUUAAUUAUUUUGCUCUAUGUUUGAGGGAAAAGGAGAGUGUGCAGUAAGAUUUAAAAAUAGUUCUCUCUGCAGUUGAAGAAAAUGAGUUUGAGAAAGGGAUGACUUUAGGUUUGUUAAAGAAUUUACUGAGGUGAACUUAUAGAGAUAUAAGAUUGGUGGUGAGAGGGUGGGGGAGAGGGGAGAUGAGGGAGAGAGAUAGAAAGGGAUAGGGAAGUUAAUUGUGAACUUAGAUUCUAGGACCACUGGAUUCCAUCCCCAGCACCUCAUAAGAUAGGCAUGGUGGCACACAACUGCAAUCCAAGAACGGGAGAGGUAGACUCAGGAAGGGCAGAAGUUCAAGGUCAUCCUCAGCUGCACAGUGAGUUCAAGACCAGCUCCUGUAGGUCAGGUCAACUGUUUCUGCGGGUGUCUGAAGCACCGUCUUGGCUCCAUUGCUCAUCCCUCCUCCCUCUCCACAACUGGAUUCCAGAAGUAUGGUUCAGUGCUUAGCUGUGGGUGCCUGUUUCUACUUUGACCAGCUACUAAAUGAAGGCUCUAGGAGUGGUAAUCAAGAUCCAGCGCACACAUCUGCAGCUACUGUGAGCUCAUGAUUGCAAUGGCUACAUGUGCAAUGUGGGAAAACAUGGAAGUCAGAAAACCACAUCUUCAAUGUGGGGGAAGCAAGCUGCUCCCAAUUACUCCAGUACUCAGUGGACAAGCCUGUGAGUGUAAGGGCAGCAUCAAGAGCUGCUGUCUUCUGGCAUCCUAAGUUGUGGACAUCCCUGUGGACUCUAAGGGAGCCCUAAAGAACUGAACAGAGAAAGAUGCAGGCCAAACACUCUGCAGGUCUCAUAUUAUGGGCUGGCAGGCCAUUGAAUUAUUAAAACAUCCUAUGAUUGUCACCAAUCUUUGCUUAUUCUUGAAACUUGUUAUUGCUUGCCAACAAACAGUUCUCACAGUAUCCUGAAGUCCCUAGUCACCAUGUGACAUGUAUCAGUGUCAUUCAGAGGCAAGUGGGGAGGGAGGAGAGAGUGGGAGGGAAGGAAGGAGGGAAAGAAGGAGGGAGGCAGGAAGGGAGGGAAGGAGAGAGAGGGAAAACUUGAGUUACAAUGAUGGUUAGUUUUAACCUUCAACUUGAGGCAAUCUGAGGUCACUUGGGAAGAGAGUUUCAACAAGCAAUUGUCUACAUUGGGUUGGCCUGUGGUUUGUGGUGGGUUAUCUUAAUUGAGGUGGGCAGGCCUGCCCAUUGUGGGUCCCGGGAUGUAAAAAUGUAGAGGAAGUGAGCUGAGUACUAAGCCUGAAUGCCCUCAUUCUCUCUCUGUCACUGAGGGUGUGGGUGUGACCAGCUCCUGCCACUGUGACUUGCCCCCAGUAGUAGACUGUAAGUAACCUGGAGUUGUGAGCGAAAAUAAACUUCCAUCUCUCUUAAGUUGAGCUCUACCUUGGCAUUUUAUCAC
rnacentral:lncRNA from 1 species